rnacentral:lncRNA from 1 species
AAACUGUACAAACAACACGGCUCCAAAAGCUUACACUCAAAAUGAACACGCUCAUUAAGAGUGAAAGGAAGCCGCGGACAAGCAAACAAAACGACCAACAUCAAGCCAACGGCAAACAAGCCUGGCAAAAACACCUAAACAACCACCGAAAAGCCUAAGUCAAACUACAAUCAGAGGAAACGAAGAUAAUGGGUUCACAUCCCACGAGCGCAUCCGCCUGGUCCUGGGAGAGUCCUCAACAUUCUCAAA